UGGACUUUGAUAUGGUCUUCCAGUGUACAGUUUGACAUCAUUUUUCUUGAAAAUAUGUUUCGUCGAAUAAAAUAGGCACAUAUAAGCAGAGUACAUUUCAUUAGGCUUGUUUUAUCGGUUUGGUGUUAUAGAUGGUUGACGGGGAGAGACGACACUGCUGGUUUGCUGAAGUGGUAGGUUGCCAUUCAGAUGCAUUUAUCUACUGAUUGCCCACGUGCAACCUAGGAACAGGCCGGUGAUGUCUUCGGUUGUCAUGAUGCUGGCCGAUAAGCGGAAGCCGGGUUCGGAGCCACCGAUAGUGUCUUCCUUGGAUUCGUUCGUGCAAUAAGGAGGGGACCCGACCUUCUUCACGUGUCGAGCAACAAGGGUGAUCGAGGAGGAUUACCAGGGCCCGAUGGGUGUGGUUUUCACUUACCUCUUCAACCACUUGGAGGUGGACUUCACCAUGAAGCCCGGUAACUACUGCACACAGAUGAUCAUCCAGGUGAUCGCGCCAUCGGAGGUCGCCGAGGUGGAGGUCCUCGACGCCACCGUCAGGGGGGAGGUCCACCGGCGCCUGAACUCCAAGCCUUGGUAGAUACAUCUAGAGAAGUGAUUUUUUUAGGUUGGUGGUGGAAUGAUAGGGAAGGUACCCACCUUUUAGAUGAUGGUUGUGUUCUUCUGAUGUUAAAUGGGAUGUCGUGAUUUCUUUCAGUUGAGAUGUUG